rnacentral:rRNA from 1 species
GAUGAACGCUAGCGGGAGGCUUAACACAUGCAAGUCGAGGGGCAGCAUAGGGUAGCAAUACUCUGAUGGCGACCGGCAAACGGGUGAGUAACGCGUAUGCAACCUACCCUGUACAGGGGGAUAACCCGGAGAAAUUCGGACUAAUAUCCCGUAAUAAUAUCCGGAGGCAUCUUUGGAUAUUUAAAGUUCCGGCGGUACGGGAUGGGCAUGCGUAACAUUAGCUAGUUGGUAAGGUAACGGCUUACCAAGGCUUUGAUGUUUAGGGGUCCUGAGAGGGUGGUCCCCCACACUGGUACUGAGACACGGACCAGACUCCUACGGGAGGCAGCAGUGAGGAAUAUUGGUCAAUGGGCGCAAGCCUGAACCAGCCAUCCCGCGUGCAGGAAGACGGCGCUAUGCGUUGUAAACUGCUUUUCCAGGGAGAGAAACUUGCGCACGUGUUGCGCAAUUGACGGUACCCUGGGAAUAAGCAUCGGCUAACUCCGUGCCAGCAGCCGCGGUAAACUGU